rnacentral:lncRNA from 1 species
GAGAAACAAGUCAAUAAGUCAAAUCAAGAUGUGCAUGUGUGGCGAAUGAAUGGUGUAUGGUGAUGAUGGUGAUAACAAUGGUGGAAGUCUACUUCUACUUUUGCUCUUUUGAGGGGAUACAUACCUUUCUUGCUUUUUGAAACUUUAUGAGGAGAAUGAGAUGCUCUAUCUUUCAUUUUUUUUCUUUCCUCUCAGGUGGGUAUCCUGUACCCCUAAUUCUACUGUCGGACACUUGUCCAUUUUUACCUCUGGUCUCACUCUUUUUCUUUUCUUUCGAGGUUCCGGGCACUUGCCCCUUUUUAUUUCCUCGUAUAUUUUUUUCUCUCCUUUUAUUAGAGCAAUCAUCUCAUGAGAUAAUAUAGCAAGUGGUAGUAACAAGUUAACUUGAGCAUUUAUUUCACAAGGAAAAAACAGAAAUAUUUUUGGUUAUUCUUUCCCGGAUUAGGAGUAGAAUAUUUUUUGGUGGUUCUGGAGAUGGAAAUGAGUGGAUAUAUGUGGAUGGUACUUCCAGAGUAGAAGUAGCAUAUAUGAGUGAAUGUGCAAGUGAAAUCUUGAUUUAACCACAUGACAAGCUCCUAAGGGUCUACACAGCUUUACCACACUCAAUGCUCAUAAGCAGUAAAUAAUAAAUGUGUGGCUCAAAGUCUAGCAAGCAUGUAUAUAUGGCUGUGGUAGGAAUUUAAACUUUCAUCAUACAGGAACUCAUCAUGCAAUAUUUUAAAGAUUUUUCAAAGAUAAAAUUCUCUAGAAUUCUAGCAUCUCUAGGAACAGAUAAACAGCAGCUCAACCUUCUCAUAUCAUAUCCGUUAACAACUUAGAUUUCAGAUCAAGUUUUCAUCCCACAAGUUUAGAUCUAGAGCAAGCUUUAAAUUAUAACAGUUAUGUCUAAACUUGAGAGAGAACUUCAAAUUUGCAAAUUAGGCAGAGCAACUAUUCAUCAUAUCC